GAUGAAGAACGCAGCGAAAUGCGAUAAGUAAUGUGAAUUGCAGAUUUCAGUGAAUCAUCGAAUCUUUGAACGCACAUUGCGCCCUUUGGUAUUCCUUAGGGCAUGCCUGUUCGAGCGUCAUUUAAACCUUCAAGCUAAGCUUGGUGUUGGGUGACUGUCCGCUUCACGGCGGACUCGCCUCAAAAUUAUUGGCGGCCGGUACAUUGGCUUCGAGCGCAGCAGAAACGCGAACUCGGGCCCGUCGUAUUGGCUCCCAGAAGCUAUCUUCACAAUUUUGACCUCGGAUCAGGUAGGGAUACCCGCUGAACUUAAGCAUAUCAAUAAGCGGAGGA
rnacentral:misc_RNA from 1 species